rnacentral:rRNA from 1 species
CCUACGGGAGGCAGCAGUGGGGAAUAUUGCGCAAUGGGCGAAAGCCUGACGCAGCGACGCCGCGGGAGGGAUGAAGGUCUUCGGAUCGUAAACCUCUGUCAGCAGGGAAGAACGGUCACUGUGCUAAUCAGCAGUGAAUUGACGGUACCUGCAAAGGAAGCACCGGCUAACUCCGUGCCAGCAGCCGCGGUAAUACGGAGGGUGCGAGCGUUAAUCGGAAUUACUGGGCGUAAAGCGCUCGUAGGCGGUAUGUCAAGUCAAGGGUGAAAUCCCCGCGCUCAACGUGGGAACUGACUUUGAAUCUGGCAAACUGGAGUGUGUGAGUGGAUAGUGGAAUUCCAGGUGUAGGAGUGAAAUCCGUAGAUAUCUGGAGGAACAUCAGUGGCGAAGGCAGCUUACUAAGCCAUAACUGACACUGAAGCACGAAAGCGUGGGGAUCAAACAGGAUUAGAUACCCGAGUAGUC